UACCACAUCUAAGGAAGGCAGCAGGCGCGCAAAUUACCCACUCCCGGCACGGGGAGGUAGUGACGAAAAAUAACGAUACGGGACUCAUCCGAGGCCCCGUAAUCGGAAUGAGUACACUUUAAAUCCUUUAACAAGGAUCCAUUGGAGGGCAAGUCUGGUGCCAGCAGCCGCGGUAAUUCCAGCUCCAAUAGCGUAUAUUAAAGUUGUUGCGGUUAAAAAGCUCGUAGUUGAAUCUGUGUGCCACGCUGUCGGUUCACCGCUCGCGGUGUUACUGAUUGGCCAGUGGUACGUCCUACCGGUGGAUUCUGCUUCGCGCCUUCGGGUGCGGGCGGUCCAAAUUGAAUCCCAUCGCGGUGCUCUUUACCGAGUGUCGAGGUGGGCCGGUACUUUUACUUUGAACAAAUUAGAGUGCUCAAAGCAGGCCUAAAAUAAGCCUGAAUAAUCUGUGCAUGGAAUAAUGGAAUAGGACCUCGGUUCUAUUUUGUUGGUUUUAAGAGCCCCGAGGUAAUGAUUAAUAGGGACAGAUGGGGGCAUUUGUAUUGCGAC
rnacentral:rRNA from 1 species